rnacentral:rRNA from 1 species
GGGUUGUGAGGUUAAGCGACUAAGCGUACACGGUGGAUGCCCUGGCAGUCAGAGGCGAUGAAGGACGUGCUAAUCUGCGAUAAGCGUCGGUAAGGUGAUAUGAACCGUUAUAACCGGCGAUUUCCGAAUGGGGAAACCCAGUGUGUUUCGACACACUAUCAUUAACUGAAUCCAUAGGUUAAUGAGGCGAACCGGGGGAACUGAAACAUCUAAGUACCCCGAGGAAAAGAAAUCAACCGAGAUUCCCCCAGUAGCGGCGAGCGAACGGGGAGCAGCCCAGAGCCUGAAUCAGUGUGUGUGUUAGUGGAAGCGUCUGGAAAGGCGCGCGAUACAGGGUGACAGCCCCGUACACAAAAAUGCACAUGCUGUGAGCUCGAUGAGUAGGGCGGGACACGUGGUAUCCUGUCUGAAUAUGGGGGGACCAUCCUCCAAGGCUAAAUACUCCUGACUGACCGAUAGUGAACCAGUACCGUGAGGGAAAGGCGAAAAGAACCCCGGCGAGGGGAGUGAAAAAGAACCUGAAACCGUGUACGUACAAGCAGUGGGAGCACGCUUAGGCGUGUGACUGCGUACCUUUUGUAUAAUGGGUCAGCGACUUAUAUUCUGUAGCAAGGUUAACCGAAUAGGGGAGCCGAAGGGAAACCGAGUCUUAACUGGGCGUUAAGUUGCAGGGUAUAGACCCGAAACCCGGUGAUCUAGCCAUGGGCAGGUUGAAGGUUGGGUAACACUAACUGGAGGACCGAACCGACUAAUGUUGAAAAAUUAGCGGAUGACUUGUGGCUGGGGGUGAAAGGCCAAUCAAACCGGGAGAUAGCUGGUUCUCCCCGAAAGCUAUUUAGGUAGCGCCUCGUGAAUUCAUCUCCGGGGGUAGAGCACUGUUUCGGCAAGGGGGUCAUCCCGACUUACCAACCCGAUGCAAACUGCGAAUACCGGAGAAUGUUAUCACGGGAGACACACGGCGGGUGCUAACGUCCGUCGUGAAGAGGGAAACAACCCAGACCGCCAGCUAAGGUCCCAAAGUCAUGGUUAAGUGGGAAACGAUGUGGGAAGGCCCAGACAGCCAGGAUGUUGGCUUAGAAGCAGCCAUCAUUUAAAGAAAGCGUAAUAGCUCACUGGUCGAGUCGGCCUGCGCGGAAGAUGUAACGGGGCUAAACCAUGCACCGAAGCUGCGGCAGCGACACUAUGUGUUGUUGGGUAGGGGAGCGUUCUGUAAGCCUGUGAAGGUGUACUGUGAGGUAUGCUGGAGGUAUCAGAAGUGCGAAUGCUGACAUAAGUAACGAUAAAGCGGGUGAAAAGCCCGCUCGCCGGAAGACCAAGGGUUCCUGUCCAACGUUAAUCGGGGCAGGGUGAGUCGACCCCUAAGGCGAGGCCGAAAGGCGUAGUCGAUGGGAAACAGGUUAAUAUUCCUGUACUUGGUGUUACUGCGAAGGGGGGACGGAGAAGGCUAUGUUGGCCGGGCGACGGUUGUCCCGGUUUAAGCGUGUAGGCUGGUUUUCCAGGCAAAUCCGGAAAAUCAAGGCUGAGGCGUGAUGACGAGGCACUACGGUGCUGAAGCAACAAAUGCCCUGCUUCCAGGAAAAGCCUCUAAGCAUCAGGUAACAUCAAAUCGUACCCCAAACCGACACAGGUGGUCAGGUAGAGAAUACCAAGGCGCUUGAGAGAACUCGGGUGAAGGAACUAGGCAAAAUGGUGCCGUAACUUCGGGAGAAGGCACGCUGAUAUGUAGGUGAAGUCCCUCGCGGAUGGAGCUGAAAUCAGUCGAAGAUACCAGCUGGCUGCAACUGUUUAUUAAAAACACAGCACUGUGCAAACACGAAAGUGGACGUAUACGGUGUGACGCCUGCCCGGUGCCGGAAGGUUAAUUGAUGGGGUUAGCGCAAGCGAAGCUCUUGAUCGAAGCCCCGGUAAACGGCGGCCGUAACUAUAACGGUCCUAAGGUAGCGAAAUUCCUUGUCGGGUAAGUUCCGACCUGCACGAAUGGCGUAAUGAUGGCCAGGCUGUCUCCACCCGAGACUCAGUGAAAUUGAACUCGCUGUGAAGAUGCAGUGUACCCGCGGCAAGACGGAAAGACCCCGUGAACCUUUACUAUAGCUUGACACUGAACAUUGAGCCUUGAUGUGUAGGAUAGGUGGGAGGCUUUGAAGUGUGGACGCCAGUCUGCAUGGAGCCGACCUUGAAAUACCACCCUUUAAUGUUUGAUGUUCUAACGUUGACCCGUAAUCCGGGUUGCGGACAGUGUCUGGUGGGUAGUUUGACUGGGGCGGUCUCCUCCUAAAGAGUAACGGAGGAGCACGAAGGUUGGCUAAUCCUGGUCGGACAUCAGGAGGUUAGUGCAAUGGCAUAAGCCAGCUUGACUGCGAGCGUGACGGCGCGAGCAGGUGCGAAAGCAGGUCAUAGUGAUCCGGUGGUUCUGAAUGGAAGGGCCAUCGCUCAACGGAUAAAAGGUACUCCGGGGAUAACAGGCUGAUACCGCCCAAGAGUUCAUAUCGACGGCGGUGUUUGGCACCUCGAUGUCGGCUCAUCACAUCCUGGGGCUGAAGUAGGUCCCAAGGGUAUGGCUGUUCGCCAUUUAAAGUGGUACGCGAGCUGGGUUUAGAACGUCGUGAGACAGUUCGGUCCCUAUCUGCCGUGGGCGCUGGAGAACUGAGGGGGGCUGCUCCUAGUACGAGAGGACCGGAGUGGACGCAUCACUGGUGUUCGGGUUGUCAUGCCAAUGGCACUGCCCGGUAGCUAAAUGCGGAAGAGAUAAGUGCUGAAAGCAUCUAAGCACGAAACUUGCCCCGAGAUGAGUUCUCCCUGACUCCUUGAGAGUCCUGAAGGAACGUUGAAGACGACGACGUUGAUAGGCCGGGUGUGUAAGCGCAGCGAUGCGUUGAGCUAACCGGUACUAAUGAACCGUGAGGCUUAACCUUACAACGCCGAAGGUGUUU